AACAAUCACCUGAUCUGAAAACAUGAAUUUUUAUAAAACGUGAGUACAAUACUCAGUGAGUGAAUAUUAGAAGGGAACAAGCAAUCUCAACUAGGAAAUUUGACAAUCAUGAUGCACCGGUUGAAAAUAAGGCCAUUUUCAUCUAACUACUAUUCCAAACCCUUUUUCCCUUAAAACAAGCCAUCCUGCUAAAAUAACAAUAGUAACAUGUAACACAUGUAAACUUCCAAAUUUCAACAAAACAAACGCUUACAUAUUUGCAUUUACAACCAUAUACCCAUCAUCAACAUGCACACCAUCCCAUCAUCAUCAUCUCAUAUGCAACAGCUUAUGCGCAUAUAGCCGGGUCAACAACGGCUUAUGUGCACUCCCACUCACACAUAGCUGGGUCAACAACAGUUUAUGUGCACUCCUACUUGCACAUAGCCGGGUCAGCACUCCUACUCAUACAUAGCCGGGUCCAAAUCAACAUGCAAAGAAGCAUCCAAUGCAUAUCAUGCAUUUUAUCAUAUUGUGAUAACACAUAAACCAUUGUAUAGCACAUUUUCACAAUAUAAAAUCAUUUUACUAAAAGCUUGUUCCCAAGGUACAUUUUCUAAGACAAGUUGGAUAGAAUCUUUCAUAUUCCCCAAAACAAGUUUGAAAUGCAAGUCCACUCACCGGUAUUAGGAGUAGAAAUACUCCUAUUUUCAGUCCGCGGGUACAGUCCUUUACCCGUAUGCAAUGGCUCACCACCUAGCCAUAAUCCAUGACACAUAUUCCAAUUAAAUUGUGUCUAACAGUCAUAAGCUAUUUCAGGCUCGAUAUAUAUAUGAUAUGAAAUGAAAAAUGCACGGGUAGCCAUCUAGACCCGGUAUUGGCCUAAGUCGAUUUUUCAUCCGAUAAAUUGGCCAAUGCAUCCAAUUUCACUCCAAAUUAAUCCAUUUCUCCUCUAAUACCUUAAUUUACCACAUACCAUUUAAAUAAAGCCAAAUUCAGCAUUAGAACCCUCACAGUUCCUUAUAGAAAAAUUCGGUCAUUUGGUGCACUAACACCGAAAAUUUUUCUACAUAACCGUUUCACCUUAAUUCAUCAUUUUCCAAGCCAUUUUCCUUGAAAUAAAAACAAUCCCCCAUUGAUAUUCAGCCCUCAUGGUUCGACCAACAAGGAACCCUAGAGAAAUUGAAUAUUUCUUUUGUGUUUUUGUUCAUAACCAUGCUUAACUAUCCCUAAACACUAACAUAGUCUAAAAUCAAAUUAUUCCAACAACAAUUCCUCUUCCAUACCCAUUUUUCAGAAUUGAAUUCAUCAUGAUAACUCAAUAUUCAACCAUGGAAAUCAAGAACAAAAGCAUGGGUAAGCUAGGUAUCAAGGAGAAUUAAAGAAAUUUUAACUUACCUAGCUUGUUUCCUUGA
rnacentral:lncRNA from 1 species